rnacentral:lncRNA from 1 species
GAUUGAGGGGGAGGUACUUGAGUAUUCAUCCAAAGAUGUCAACGAAAAUGAGGAAGUGUGCUUGUGAUAAAGACUUUAUAGACCAUUAGUAUCUGAUGUUGGCGAAAAAGCUAUACUUGUAUUUAUUUAUUUAUAGAAUAAACAUACGAUACCUUGAUAUAAACAUACGAUACCUCGAUUUUCAUGAGGCAUGGAUUAUGAGAAUGUAGAUUAAUCAUUGUGUACUUAUAUUUUACUUGAAUUAGAACAUCUAUGUACCUUUGGUUAGAACGCUGCUCUAGUUUGCUCAGACAGUACGUAUACCUCCUCCGUAGUUCAGCUC